UGUGAUCACCUGAAGGAGACUGGCUUCCUCACUUGGAAAUGCUAAGCUGCGUGCACUCGGUAGCCGGCGGAGCCAGGGGACACGUGACAAGGAGUUCCGAACACUCUCGGAGUGAAUGGGGAUGGAGUAGUUUUUCUUCCUAAGAGGUUCGCCUCUAAGGCUUUCCCGCUCUCGGCCGAGGCGCCGGCGCUGCGCCCGCCGGCGGGCACACACAGGCUGCGUGGGCGCCCGACGACCGGGACAGCGCGGAGACAAAGUCAAGGCAUCAGUUCCAUGCCAGUGAGGGACACAGAAGAUGUUUCUUCUGAAUACAGUUGACUCAGUUACCUACGUUGUGGCUGAAAUGGAAAGUGUACGUGGGGUUCCAAGGACUGGCCUGCUUUCUCCCUCUUGAAGGAGGCAUUGCUCACCCAUGGGGUGAGGAAGGUCCUGUGAAGGGGCUGAAGCAUCCCUGUCUCUCUGGCACUACUUUCCGUGCUGCCCUUACAUACAAUCUUGUACUCAUCAUGUAAACUUGUUUUGUUUUUAAUUUUAAGAAUUUCACUGCUGACCUAUGAGGCAAGAGAUAGGAUAAUAAAAUUAACAAAUGGGGAUAUGAUGCACAUCCUGGAAUCCUAGGAGUUUUUAGAGACAUGAUUCCUGAUUUGUAAAGAUCUUGACUCUCUCUGAGAUGGUAAGAGGGAGGGUGGUGCUUGGCCUAUGAGGCUCUUCCUUCACUCCUACCAUUUCCAUACUUCCCAGAGUUUACAGAGAUAAAUAACAGUCCACAUGGCUCUUACAGGACAGAAGAAAAGUAGCCUAAGAGAUAAAUAGUUAUAGAUAUAUGUAUAUGUGUAUUUUUUAAGUUGCUGUAUAUAGUACUGAUGAGGGACCAUAAGGCAAGCGGAGGGCCAAACACAAGCUAGCACCACCCCCCCCCCCCCGACCUACCCCAGGGGGGAUACGUGUGAUAUCAGGCACUCCUGGCUGCCCAAGAACAAAGGAAAGGACAGAAAACAAACGGUUAAGCAGAUAGAGUCUCCAUCAAUUUACAAAUAUCUCAUCAAUGACCCCAACUGUCUUACCACUACUGCUUUGCCAGAGGGAAAAACCUUAGCCUGACAGUAGCUAGGCCUCCCAUAAUCUGUAAAUCCUCUUUGGCAUAUGGAAAUCCCUUUAAGAAACUUCCUCUUGACUUUACCUCCCCCUCCUCCCCAGGAUAUAAGCAGACACUCUGCACAGCCCCGCACAGCUCUUCCUGCCCAUGGGUCUGUCCCCGGGCUUUAAUAAAAUCGCUUUUUUGCACCCAA